rnacentral:rRNA from 1 species
UACGGAAGGCAGCAGUGGGGAAUAUUGCACAAUGGGCGCAAGCCUGAUGCAGCCAUGCCGCGUGUAUGAAGAAGGCCUUCGGGUUGUAAAGUACUUUCAGUCGUGAGGAAGGUGUUAAGGUUAAUAACCUUAGCAAUUGACGUUAGCGACAGAAGAAGCACCGGCUAACUCCGUGCCAGCAGCCGCGGUAAUACGGAGGGUGCGAGCGUUAAUCGGAAUUACUGGGCGUAAAGGGCACGCAGGCGGUUAAUUAAGUUGGAUGUGAAAUCCCCGGGCUUAACCUGGGAAUGGCAUUCAAGACUGGUUAGCUAGAGUCUUGUAGAGGGGGUUAGAAUUCCAUGUGUAGCGGUGAAAUGCGUAGAGAUGUGGAGGAAUACCGGUGGCGAAAGGCGGCCCCCUGGACAAAGGACUGACGCUCAUGUGC